UGGCGAUGAUUGUGGUGAUUGAGAUGAUGAUGAUGAUCAUCAUCAUCAUCAUCCUCAUCAUGAGGA
rnacentral:miRNA from 1 species